UCAAUAAGCGGAGGAAAAGAAACCAACAGGGAUUGCCCCAGUAACGGCGAGUGAAGCGGCAACAGCUCAAAUUUGAAAUCUGGCCCUCGGGUCCGAGUUGUAAUUUGUAGAGGAUGCUUUUGGCGAGGUGCCUUCCGAGUUCCCUGGAACGGGACGCCAUAGAGGGUGAGAGCCCCGUCUGGUCGGACACCGAGCCUCUGUAAAGCUCCUUCGACGAGUCGAGUAGUUUGGGAAUGCUGCUCAAAAUGGGAGGUAUAUGUCUUCUAAAGCUAAAUAUUGGCCAGAGACCGAUAGCGCACAAGUAGAGUGAUCGAAAGAUGAAAAGCACUUUGAAAAGAGGGUUAAAAAGUACGUGAAAUUGUUGAAAGGGAAGCGCCUAUGACCAGACUUGAGCCCGGUGAAUCAUCCAGCGUUCUCGCUGGUGCACUUUGCCGGGCCCAGGCCAGCAUCAGUUUGGCGCGGGGGAUAAAGGUGACGGGAAUGUGGCUCCCUCGGGAGUGUUAUAGCCCGCUACGUAAUACCCUGCGCCGGACUGAGGUACGCGCAUUGCAAGGAUGCUGGCGUAAUGGUCAUCAGCGACCCGUCUUGAAACACGGACCAAGGAGUCGUCUUCGUAUGCGAGUGUUCGGGUGUCAAACCCCUACGCGUAAUGAAAGUGAACGCAGGUGAGAGCUUCGGCGCAUCAUCGACCGAUCCUGAUGUUCUCGGAUGGAUUUGAGUAAGAGCAUACGGGGCCGGACCCGAAAGAAGGUGAACUAUGCCUGUAUAGGGUGAAGCCAGAGGAAACUCUGGUGGAGGCUCGCAGCGGUUCUGACGUGCGAAUCGAUCGUCAAAUAUGGGCAUGGGGGCGAAAGACUAAUCGAACCUUCUAGUAGCUGGUUUCCGCCG
rnacentral:rRNA from 1 species